AGCAGGGAGGUCCCAGGUUGCGCCCCGAAACUGCCAAGCCCCGAGCGGGCCGCGCCCCGAUCUGGGUUAACUACAGGUGAUGAGGCUGCAGCAGGUAGCCAGUGCCAAGACGGAGAGAUGAGUCAGCAGUUGGGAGUUCCUCGAUGCUUUUCCGGAGGAUCUGAGUUUAACGGCCAUCACUCAUCCUGGGAGACGUACAACUAACUUCCUGUUACAACAGCUCUGGAUCUGAUGCCCAGCUCUGACUCAGGCACCUCUGCACAUACAGCACACACAUGCACGCACACACACCACAACCUUUUACAUGGAGAACAAGCCAGUGAGCAACACUCCACGACUUCUGCUUUGUUUUCUGCCCUUCAGGUUCCUUCCUUGAUCCCUGCCCUGACUUCUCUAAAUAAUGGCCUACAAGUUGUGAGAUGAAAUAAGUCCCUCCCUCCCCAAGUUGCUUUUGGUCAUUGUACCGGUUGGUUCUGUGUGUCAACUUGACACAAGCUGGAGUUAUCACAGAGCAAGGAGCCUCCCUUGAGGAAAUGCCUCCAUGAGACCCAGCUCUCCUGCUUCCUGACCUUCGUGAGUUCCUGUACUGACUUCCUUUGGUGAUGAACAGCAGUGUGGAAGUGUGAGCUGAAUAAACCCUUUCC
ensembl:lncRNA